rnacentral:lncRNA from 1 species
CCUGGAGGUGGGUGAAGGGGGUUGGGGUCAUCCCCAGGCUCAGGCUUGGAGCUCACCAUGCCCUCUCCUCUCUCCUGUAGGACCUGCAACAGCUGUGCUUGGCCAAGUUGGACUGCUAGGGCUGCUGCCUUCUUCCACUGCAACCUUUUCCUGACACUCUUAGCGGCCUCCAGUCCUGGUGGUCGGCGGAGGCCUCGGCAGGACCAGGAGGAGGAGGCCCGUUGGCAUCAGACCAAUGCUGCGAGGGGUGUGAGGAUUAGAACCGCCAUCCAUCACUCAGCUGCCAGACCUAGAAAGGAUGGAACUGGAGUGAGGCAGAGGGGCUGCCAGCUGCUGACCGGCACGUGAGACGCUGGUGAUUCGCGGGUCACUGAGGCUGGACAACGUUCAUGGCUCUCGGGUAG